GAUGAACGCUGGCGGCGUGCUUAACACAUGCAAGUCGAACGGAAAGGCUCCUGCUUGCCGGGGUACUCGAGUGGCGAACGGGUGAGUAACACGUGGGUGAUCUGCCCUGCACUUCGGGAUAAGCCUGGGAAACUGGGUCUAAUACCGGAUAGGACCACAUUUUGGAUGGUGUGGUGGAAAGUUUUUCGGUGUGGGAUGAGCUCGCGGCCUAUCAGCUUGUUGGUGGGGUAAUGGCCUACCAAGGCGUCGACGGGUAGCCGGCCUGAGAGGGUGUACGGCCACAUUGGGACUGAGAUACGGCCCAGACUCCUACGGGAGGCAGCAGUGGGGAAUAUUGCACAAUGGGCGCAAGCCUGAUGCAGCGACGCCGCGUGGGGGAUGACGGCCUUCGGGUUGUAAACUCCUUUCGCUAGGGACGAAGCGCAAGUGACGGUACCUGGAGAAGAAGCACCGGCUAACUACGU
rnacentral:rRNA from 1 species